rnacentral:rRNA from 1 species
GAUGAACGCUGGCGGCGUGCCUAAUACAUGCAAGUCGAGCGAACGGACAAGAAGCUUGCUUUUCUGAUGUUAGCGGCGGACGGGUGAGUAACACGUGGAUAACCUACCUGUAAGACUGGGAUAACUUCGGGAAACCGGAGCUAAUACCGGAUAAUAUUUUGAACCGCAUGGUUCAAAAGUGAAAGACGGUCUUGCUGUCACUUAUAGAUGGAUCCGCGCUGCAUUAGCUAGUUGGUAAGGUAACGGCUUACCAAGGCAACGAUGCAUAGCCGACCUGAGAGGGUGAUCGGCCACACUGGAACUGAGACACGGUCCAGACUCCUACGGGAGGCAGCAGUAGGGAAUCUUCCGCAAUGGGCGAAAGCCUGACGGAGCAACGCCGCGUGAGUGAUGAAGGUCUUCGGAUCGUAAAACUCUGUUAUUAGGGAAGAACAUAUGUGUAAGUAACUGUGCACAUCUUGACGGUACCUAAUCAGAAAGCCACGGCUAACUACGUG